ensembl:lncRNA
CAGAGGGACAAGACAAGGACAGAGAGACAACAGGGAGAGAGAUGACAAACAGAAAUACAAAAGAGACAGAUGACAAAGACAGGAAGAAGAAGGGAGAAGGAAGAAAAGAGGAAGGAGAAAGAAGGCAGGAGCUGGAACAGGGAUCAUAACAUUUGGGACUCCAUACGUUUCUGAGAGAGGCGAUGGGAACGUACGUGCAAAGAAAUCAACGAUAGAAAUAAAUAAAUUGACAGAAUAGAAUAACUACAUAGCAACACUCCAGGCGCGUGCGUGCGUCUUUUAAAGCCAUGGCAACGGACGGUGACGCGCAGUAGAGCGAGUAUUGAAGGUUAGCAGAACUUUAUUCGGUCUCGUUUUGGACUUGGACUUUGAGGACUUUUUCAAAACGACCUGAACGCUGGAAAGCCAAACUCUUUGGAGAUUUGAACGCUGGGAAGCAUCUAAAAAAAAAAACAAAAAAAAAACAACAACUUUGCUGAAGAAAAAACUGGAAGAGAAGAAGAAGACGCUAGUUGGAGAAGCACCUGCUGCUCAGACCUGGCGACCGUUAGCAGAGUCGUCAGUGCCACAUCUGGACACUGGUCCUGGUUCACAACCUGAGGCGGCCGGACACUUCGAGGGAAAUGCUGCUGAGGUUCCCAGUUUGCAGCUUACUGGGAGACAGCUCGCAGGCUUUCCAAGCUCAGAGAUCUCUACCUCGCAGACUGCAAGCUCACUGAUGACAGCGCUGAUGUUGGAUGAAUUCAGGACCCAAAAGGAGCAAAAGAGAUGAGACACAGCAAGGAUGCAUUGCCAUCCCCUAAACCCCAAGCAAUUUGAAUAAGAAACAUAGACUAGAAAAAAAAAAUCUAAAAAAAGAGUUGAGUGACAGCCCAGGAUGAGAGAAGAAAUGAUGGAAACAGAUCCAAGACCAGCACAUGACAUGUCUGACAGCUCAACUAAUGCAAGAGCUCUAUCCAAAAAGAAGGAUCAGAUCAGGACAAGGAACCACAUGAGAGGCAGCAGCAGGAUGUGAAUCCACAUUAUGAGAAAUGAAGAAAAACGUAUUAUAGUGGUGUGAAAGCAUUAGAAGGAUUGGAGGUCACCACUGUGAGGUGACGGCACUAACCAGAGCAUCUAAGAUUUUCUUUUUACUUAUAAAAUCUAAGAAAACAAAGAAACAGUGAGAGGAACUCCAGUAUGACCUAAGAUUGAAGAAUCACCCCCGAGAUGAGACGACGAACCGCUCUGAGAUGAGAUGAUGAACAGCCCCAAACAGAACAAGAAUAGGUAGGAAUCCAAACUAAAAUGUUUCUUCUGCUGCUGAUGAAGUUGUUCAGAAGACAUUCUGUCAUGUCACAGUAGUGACAGCUUCGAAAGAUUCAUAUCACAGCACAGGUGUCAUUUCAGGCAAAAUCUGUGAAAUCAAUCAAACUUUAUUUAUAUAGCACUUUUCAUACAGUGAAAAUGCAACACAAAGUGCUUUGCAACAUUUAAAAACAUUAAAAACAAGGAAACCCAUCCCUCCCUCCAUAUAUACAUAUAUGCACACAACUACAGACACACACACACACACUCUCACGCACAUACACACACACUCUCACCUCACUCUCACUUUAUGUUUAAGCUGUUCUUUUUUUAAAGCAAAUAACCGUAAGCAGGCUUACAAUAAAACUGUUUACAAUAACAACAACUUUAAACUAUUGAAUUUACAGUUGCCAGAAAGCAUUUGUUAAACAUUGUCAUUAUUUUUAGGUGAAGUUCUGGCAGCCGGAGCUGUUGGUAUUUUACAAUAAAGACCUCAUUUGUGGAGGCUGUAAAAUGUAAAUCUUUAACUUUAUUUGUAAUUAUAGAGCCUUUAUUUUUUGAAGUGUAGGUAACACCUGUGUGACAAUUAUUGUAAUUAUAAAUAUGUGAAGUACACAAAAGACAUUAUUGAGUUUUCUUUAUUUUCUGGUUAUGGCUGUACUGUUUCCAUACAGGUGCAUUACUGUAUGUUGCAGUGUUCUUGUUAUCAUUAUUUGUGCAUUAAUGCUACAUAUUGUAAUAUAAAUGCUCUACUGUAUAACACAUAAGCACAUAGGAGGACUGAUCCAAACCAUCAAGGCUCUAUGAUGGAUUCUUGUACUUUGUUUUACAAAACCUCCAAUUUGUGCAAUUAACACCGGAAUUCAGAGAGAUUGUGCAUUCAAUCCUUAAAUCUACAAUUAGAAAUGAGUGACUGCAUCUGAGAAAUGUUAUCUAGAAGCACCCAACACUGUUCUGUCAUGUGUUUAGCUGCAUCUUCAGUCUCUGCACAUCUGUCUGCUGAUCAUGUUUAGUUAAUACAGUGCAGCAGCGCCCUCUGGAGAUCAGCAGCUGUAGUACAGAAACAUCUGGCCUCAGUAAGCAUGCCAGGCUGGAAGAAACUUAAGUCAAGGCCUGGUUUGGAAAUGGG